AAGAUCGUGGAACGCAUCAGAAGCGUUCUGUUGGAACGCCAGAUACUGUACAUUGAGUUCUUGAACCGCACAGGGUUCCGUCGAGCCAAUCAGAUGCAAGCAGGCGUGACUUCGAAUACCUUCAACCAAUCGUCGCGCAGUGGUCGCGGCUUCGCACCGGCGUUGUAAACAGUGUAAAGCAGGAGUCUGGAGAUGUGUAUAAAUAUCAGUGUGUCCCCAGUGCUGUCUUAUGAACUCAUGCCGCGCAUCAGCUGCUUGUAGACCGCACUGUUUCCCUGGAGCUGACGGCAAUCUGCUCACGCUACAGGUGAGGUGCCUUUAAACUCUGGACCAAACCAACAGUGCUGAAAAUGAAGAUCUGUGUUGCUUUUAUUGUAGUAGCUGUUCUUCACAUCGCUCAGUCUGGUGAGUUUCUGUCUCUCUUGCCCUGAUGUUUCACUUUAGUCACCAAGUGCUUCAGUUGCAUGACUUCUUGCAUAAAAAAAAAACAAACAAACAAAAAAAAGAAAAUAUGAGAUAAAAAAAAUAGAUAAAAUAAAGCAUUAAAAUAUAAGAUAAAACAUGAAAUAAAAUAAUAUAAAAAUAAAAUAAAAUAUUAAAUAUAAUGUAUAUUUAAACCCCAAUAGCUCAUUGUACUUUGAAAGCAUACUUUGAAUAAAGUAAAAUAUAAUUAAAUAUUAGUUUGUUUUGCAUAAUUUAUAUGUUGUUUCAAUGGCAUGACUUUUUGCAUUAAAUGAAAUAAAUCUUUUAAAUAAAAUUAUAAUUACAAUUUAAAAUAAAAAAUAAAGUAAAAUGAACAUUAUAANAAUAAAAUAAAAUAAAAUAAAAUAAAAUAAAAUAAAAUAAAAUAAAAUAAAAUGUUUCUUUGAAUAAUAGUUUAUUGUAAUUUGGAAGCAUAAAGUAUUCUUUGAAUAAAAUUAUAAAAUAUAAGUUAUGUAAUGAAAAAAACCUUUUAAUCUUUUUAAGAAAGUAUUUUAUUUUAGGAAUACUUAAAAAAAAAUUAUAAAAUAAAAUGAAAUUCCCUUUUUAUCUUCAAAAUACAGUUUCUGACAUAUUAACAUAACCUUGUGUUUUAUAGCCUUAGUUGCAUAAUUUCUCUUCCCUAAAAUUAUUAGUUGCCCUUUCUGUCUGUCAUCCCUCUGUUAUCUGCUGUCACUUUACAAGCUGAAUUGUGACACUGCCUGAUGUACAGUAUUAGAGAUUAGCUAGCAUGUGGCCAUCCAAAAUAUACCGGCUUCUUUUCAGUCUCAUUUUAAUCCAUCCAACAGAGAGACCGCAUGACUAAGAGUCUUGUUACAGAAGAAGGCUCUUGGAUUUAGUUCGUCAAACCCACAGAAGCCCUUUGAGAAUUUUUUUCCACCGUGUUUCGUUCUAGUCCAGCAAACUUAGUUUUAUGCCAAAACCCAACAGCACAAUCUGUAUCUUUACAGGCCCGGAAAUGUAGUGCAUUUCUUCUCCUUUCAGCGUUGCUCAGCAAAGUAGCUUUACUGUAAUUUAACAAACCGAAGUUGCUUUCAGACCUUGUACUUGGAAAUGUGAUUUGCAGUUCUAAAAAAGCAGCAUGGCCUUCCACAUUAAAAGUCAAAAUGAAUGAAUUCUAAAGUAGAUGGU
rnacentral:lncRNA from 12 species